UGGGGAAUCUUGCGCAAUGGCCUGACGGCUGACGCAGCGACGCCGCGUGUGGGAGGACGCCCCUCGGGGUGUAAACCACUGUUGCCCGGGACGAACGGGUGGUUUCGACCACCGUGACGGUACCGGGUGAGGAAGCACCGGCUAACUCCGUGCCAGCAGCCGCGGUAAUACGGAGGGUGCGAGCGUUGUCCGGAAUCACUGGGCGUAAAGGGCGCGUAGGCGGUCCGGUAAGCGUGUGGUGAAAGCCCGGGGCUCAACCCCGGGUCGGCCGUGCGAACUGCGGGACUGGAGCACUGUAGAGGCAGGCGGAAUUCCGGGUGUAGCGGUGGAAUGCGUAGAGAUCCGGAAGAACACCGGUGGCGAAGGCGGCCUGCUGGGCAGUAGCUGACGCUGAGGCGCGACAGCGUGGGGAGCAAACA
rnacentral:rRNA from 1 species